rnacentral:rRNA from 1 species
UACAGAGGGUGCUAGCGUUAAUCGGAAUUAUUGGGCGUAAAGCGCGUGUAGGCGGUCUUGCAAGUCGGGUGUGAAAUCCCUUGGCUCAACUGAGGAAGUGCGCCCGAAACUGCAGGACUUGAGUACCGGAGAGGAUGGCGGAAUUCCCCAAGUAGAGGUGAAAUUCGUAGAUAUGGGGAGGAACACCGGUGGCGAAGGCGGCCAUCUGGACGGAUACUGACGCUGAGACGCGAAAGCAUGGGGAGCAAACAGG